rnacentral:rRNA from 1 species
UGGGAAACUAUGGGUAAUACUGAAUAAUAUCUCCGGAUCAAAGGUGUGAUUCCGCCGGAGGAGGGGUCCGCGUCCUAUUAGCUAGUUGGUGAGGUAACGGCUCACCAAGGCGAAGAUGGGUACGGGAUGUGAGAGCAUAAUCCCGCUCAUUGGGACUGAGACACUGCCCAGACACCUACGGGUGGCUGCAGUCGAGAAUCUUCGGCAAUGGGGGAAACCCUGACCGAGCGACGCCGCGUGUGAGAUGAAGGCCUUCGGGUUGUAAAUCACUGUCGUAGAGGAGGAAAUACUGGUGGGUUCUCCCAUCAGCUUGACCUAUUCCAGGAGGAAGGACGGGCUAAGUUCGUGCCAGCAGCCGCGGUAAUACGGACCGUCCAAACGUUAUUCGGAAUCACUGGGCUUAAAGGGUGCGUAGGCCGUUCGGAAAGUUGGGUGUGAAAUACCUCGGCUCAACCGAGGAACUGCGCCCAAAACUGCCGGACUAGAGGGAGACAUAGGUGUGCGGAACCUAGGGUGGAGCGGUGAAAUGCGUUGAGAUCCUAGGGAACACCAGUAGCGAAAGCGGCACACUGGGUCUCUUCUGACGCUGAUGCACGAAAGCUAGGGGAGCGAAGAGGAUUAGAUACCCUCGUAGUCCUAGCCGUAAACGAUGAGCACUGGUUUGGAGGCUCCUCCAUAGGC